rnacentral:lncRNA from 1 species
AGCCAGACAUUUAGGGUUUCUCAACCAUUUCUCUCCCUCACUCCCGAGCCCCUCCCCAUAGCAGCCGACGCCCCUUGUAUGUUCUCAUCGAGCACACCCCUCACUGUCUCCCUCUCAACUCCCUCUCUUCCUAGAGCUGGUGCCCAUCUCCCUCCUUCCCCGAGCCCUGCCCUCUCCCUCCUCCCCCGAGCUCCACCCUAGCGGCGGUGGAGCCCCCUCCUCCUUCAAGCCUCUCCGUCCUCC